UCUCCCUACGGGAGGCAGCAGCGGGGAAUAUUGCACAAUGGGCGAAAGCCUGAUGCAGCAACGCCGCGUGAAGGAAGAAGGGUUUCGGCUCGUAAACUUCUAUCAACAGGGACGAAAGAAAUGACGGUACCUGAAUAAGAAGCCCCGGCUAACUACGUGCCAGCAGCCGCGGUAAUACGGAGGGGGCAAGCGUUAUCCGGAAUUACUGGGUGUAAAGGGUGAGUAGGCGGCAUGGUAAGCCAGAUGGGAAAGCCUUGGGCUUAACCCGAGGAUUGCAUUUGGAACUAUCAAGCUGGAGAAAAGGG
rnacentral:rRNA from 1 species